UCCAGAAGAUUCAAAUACGAAGCUAGAUCGAGGAAAGGAAAAAGUUCGGGAUUAAUAGAUUUUUACUGUUUACAAACAAGUAUCAAGUGUUAAGAGCUCGGAGGUCGGAUUUGGUCGGAGACACAUCACACUGUCAACCUCAGGAUUUCGGUAUAUAAAGAAACUUUAUUUUGGAAAUCAAUGGCAUGUAUAAGCUAACAAAGUAAAUGUUAACGUGAAAUGAAUGUAAAGUUAGCCAUUAGUAUGGUUAACGAACCUGGUUAUAGAUAUGUGAUGACGUUAUCUUAUAUAAAUGCAUGAAUCUAUCAUGAAAAUAUGUUGAAUUGAUUUGGUUGAUGUGGAUCGGUCUCGAUUUAAUAUUACAGGGAAGGUUAGAUAUUUAUAAAAGGGCUAUAUUGAAUAUAAAAAAAAAUUAAUUCGUAAACUCCGGUAAUGCCUCGUACCCUAUUCCGGCAAUGAAUACGGGUAGGGGUAUUACAUUUAUUGGUAUCAGAGCUACGGUUUAGCCGGUUCUAGGACCGAUGUAGCAAAUACGGGAUUAGCUAUACAUGCCAUUUAAAUUAUUAUUGAUAGUGUGAUAUCUCCUGACCAUUUAAAGUGUGUUUUUCUUAUAGUAAUGUCAUCCGACCGAGCUCAAUCUGAGGAAGCUGGGAGUCAUGCUCCGGCUUCAGUACAAAGAGAAGAAACUAGCAGUAGAAGGCCCGAGACAGAAGGUCGAGGGGAGGAGGCAAAAACAGCCUUCUUUCAAAUGAUGAAUGAAUGGUUUAAUCAAUACUUAAGAACUAACCCUGUAGUGCAGCAAGUUCAAGCUCCCCCUCCUGCUCCUUCACCGGUUCCCAAGAUCCCACAAGGUACAGGUACUGAAUCUGUCAGAAAAGGGAAAGCUCCAGUAGAUAAAAUUUGAAAAUAUGGGGCCGAAGAAUUUCGAGCAGCAGUUGAUGAUGAUUCCGAACGGGCUGAAUUCUGGUUAGAAAAUACUACUCGGGUUCUGGAAGAAUUAUCUUGUACACCAGAAGAAUGUCUGAAAUGUGCCGUCUCACUGCUAAAAGAUACAGCUUACCAUUGGUGGAAUACUAAAGCUUCAGUUGUUCCGAAAGAAGAAAUUACAUGGGAAUUCUUUCAGACCGAGUUCAAAAAAAAUAUAUCAGCCAGAGGUUCCUUGACCAGAAAAGAAAAGAAUUUCUUGAGCUAAAACAGGCCAAUAGAUCAGUAUCUAAAUAUGAAAGAGAAUUUGUUCGAUUGAGUAAAUAUGCUCGAGAAUGGGUACAAUCAGAAGUUGAAAUGUGUAAACGAUUCGAAGAAGGGUUGAAUGAAGACAUUAAGUUACUGAUCGGAAUUCUUGAAAUUCGAGAGUUUGCUACAUUGGCAGAGAGAGCUUAUAAAGCAGAAGAAUUGAGCAAAGAAAAGAAACAGGCUGAGAGGGAAGCUCGAAUUUUUAGUAAAAGACCGAUGGGAAAAUCCCAGUUUUCUGCUUGCUUCAAAGAAAUUGAAGAAAUAUCAGGAUCGUUCUACUUCAGCCAUUGGGUAUUCGGGCAAAGAACGAGGUUCUCAACGCACUAAUCCAAGGCCUUCUACUCCAUCAGUGACCAGUGUUGGCAGUGUUGGCACUCCUAAACCGAGAUGCCAGUACUGUAAUAAAGCUCAUUUUGGUGAAUGCCGAUUUAAGAGUGGGGCUUGUUACCGAUGUGGUUCUUUUGACCAUUUCCUCAGAGAUUGUCCAGAAAUGGUUGAAAAAGAAGUUGAACAUAUAUCGAAGCCAAGUAAUCUAGUUUCGAGAGGCAGACCACCUCGACCAUCCGGUAAUGUCAGUGGUAGUCGAGGAGCUACAAAAGAUACUAUAGGUAGGCCUGAGGUACGAGCACCUGCUAGGACAUAUACCAUUCGUGCCAGAGAAGAUGCUUCAGCACCCGAUGUUAUUACUGGUACAUUUUCUUUACUUGAUACUGAGAUUACUGCAUUGAUUGAUCCUGGUUCUACGCAUUCAUAUAUAUGUGUUAAACUUGCAAUUGUUAAAAAUUUAUCUGUUGAACCUACUGAAUUUAUGGUUAAAGUCUCGAACCCCCUGGGCCAGUCUGUGUUAGUGGAUAAAAUUUGUAAAAAUUGUCCACUGAUGGUAAGAGGUUAUUGUUUCCCGGUUGAUUUGAUGUUACUGCCAUUUGAUGAAUUUGACGUGAUAUUGGGUAUAGAUUGGUUAACCCAGCAUGAUGCGGUAGUAAAUUGUAAACAAAAAUAUACUGUGUUAAAAUCUCAGAAUAGUGAGUUGCUCCGGGUUAAAUCUGAUCAGACAGAGGGGUUAUCUGAUAUGAUUUCAGUAAUGGCAGCACAGAGGUAUGUCAAAAAGGGGUAUGAUGCUUACUUGGCUUAUGUACUCGACACCAAGGUAUCUGAGUCAAAGAUACAGGCAGUUCCAGUGGUAUGUGAAUUUUCUGAUGUGUUUCCAGAAGAAUUACCAGGAUUGCCACCAGAAAGAGAAGUGGAAUUUUCUAUAGAUUUGAUUUUGGGAACUACUCCGAUCUCCAUAGCUCCGUACCGGAUGGCUCCUAUAGAAUUAAAAGAGUUAAAGACACAGUUGCAAGAGCUUGUUGACAGGGGUUUUGUUCGACCGAGUCAUUCACCUUGGGGUGCUCCGGUUCUGUUUGUGAAAAAGAAAGAUGGGUCUUUGAGAUUGUGUAUCGACUACCGGCAGCUUAAUAAAGUAACCAUAAAGAAUAAGUACCCGUUACCCCUGAUUGAUGAUUUAUUUGAUCAGCUGAAAGGUGCUACUAUGUUUUCAAAGAUUGAUCUUCGAUCAGGUUAUUAUCAGUUACGGGUAAAGGAGUCAGAUGUGCCAAAAACAGCUUUUAGAACCAGGUACGGGUAUUAUAAGUUUCUAGUUAUGCCGUUUGGGCUAACUAAUGCACCUGCAGUAUUCAUGGAUUUGAUGAACCGGAUAUUUAGACCGUACUUAGACAGAUUUGUAGUAGUAUUCGUUGAUGAUAUUUUGGUUUAUUCUCGGGAUGAAGAAGAACAUGCAGAACAUUUGAGAAUUGUGUUGCAAAUUCUACGAGAGAAGCAGUUGUAUGCUAAAUUCAGUAAAUGUGAAUUUUGGUUUCGAGAAGUGAGUUUUCUUGGACACAUUGUAUCUGCCGAAGGCAUCAGGGUAGAUCCAAGUAAAAUCUUAGCUAUUGUCAAUUGGAGUCCACCGAAGAAUGUAUCUGAAGUUAGAAAUUUCUUGGGUUUAGCUGGUUAUUAUCGGAGAUUUGUACAGGGAUUCUCUAUGAUAGCUUCUCCAAUGACUCGAUUAUUGCAGAAAGAUGUAAAGUUCGAGUGGACUGAUGAAUGUCAACAAAGUUUCAACCGAUUGAAAGACCUAUUAACGAAAGCACCUGUAUUAGUGCAGCCUGAACCGGGUAAGGAAUUUGUUAUUUACAGUGAUGCCUCAUUAAAUGGUUUAGGUUGUGUUUUGAUGCAAGAAGGUAAAGUAAUAGCUUAUGCUUCAAGACAACUUAAACCACAUGAAAGAAAUUACCCAGUACAUGAUCUUGAAUUAGCUGCUAUUGUAUUUGCGCUGAAGAUAUGGCGGCAUUACUUGUACGGUGAGAAAUGUCAUAUUUAUACUGAUCAUAAAAGCUUGAAAUAUUUGAUGACACAGAAAGAUUUGAAUUUGAGACAGCGCAGGUGGCUUGAACUGAUAAAGAACUAUGAUUUGAUUAUUGAUUACCAUCAGGGUAAGGCUAAUGUUGUAGCUGAUGCUUUGAGCCGGAAAUCUCUGUUUGCUUUACGAGCUAUGAAUACCCGGUUAUCAUUGACUGAUGAUGGUUCAAUCCUAGCUGAAUUGAGAGCUAAACUGACAUUUUUACAGCAAAUAUGUGAAGCUCAGAAGAAUGAUGAGAAGUUACAGGUUAAACGGGCACAGUGUGAGUCAGGUAAUGAUUCUGAAUUUCAGAUUGGUUCUGAUGAUUGUUUAUUAUUCAGAGGUAGGGUAUUUGUACCUCAGAAUUCAGAGCUCAUAUAGAAUAUUCUACGCGAGGCCCACAGUAGUACUAUGUCUGUACAUCCGGGGAGUAAUAAAAUGUAUAAUGAUCUAAAAAAGAUGUACUGGUGGUCGGGAAUGAAACGUGAUAUCUCUGAGUUUGUAUCAAUGUGUUUAAUAUGUCAACAAGUUAAAGCUGAACAUCAGGUACCUUCGGGGUUACUUCAGCCAAUUACUAUACUGGAAUGGAAAUGGGAAAGAAUCACUAUGGAUUUUGUAUCGGGGCUACCUUUGUCUCCGAGGAAAAAAGAUGCUAUUUGGGUGAUUGUAGACCGAUUGACAAAGUCAGCUCACUUUAUUCCGGUACGUAUGGAUUAUUCUUUAAAUAAACUAGCUGAACUGUACAUAUCUGAGAUUGUCAGGUUACAUGGAGUGCCUGUCUCCAUUAUAUCAGAUAGAGAUCCCCUAUUUACGUCUCGUUUCUGGGACAAAUUGCAAGAAGCCUUGGGUACUCAGUUGUAUUUUAGCACUGCAUUUCAUCCUCAGACAGAUGGUCAAUCUUAGCGUGUAAUUCAAGUAUUGGAAGAUAUGAUCCGAUGUUGUAUACUAGAGUUUGAAGGUAAUUGGGAGAGGUAUCUACCUUUGAUUGAAUUUGCUUGCAAUAACAGUUAUCAGUCUAGUAUUAAAAUGGCUCCGUAUGAAGCUUUGUAUGGUAGAAAAUGUAGAACACCAUUAUAUUGGAUAGAGCUCAGUGAAAGGAAGAUACAUGGGGUUGAUUUGAUCCGGGAAACAGAAGAAAAAGUAAAGGUUAUUCGAGAUAGUCUAAAAGCAGCUUCCGAUCGUCAAAAAUCAUAUGCCGACCUUAAGCGAAAAGAGAUUAAAUUUCAAGUCGGUGACAAGGUAUUUCUGAAAGUGUCUCCUUGGAAGAAAGUUCUUCGAUUUGGUCAAAAAGGUAAAUUGAGUCCAAGAUUUAUCGGGCCCUAUGAAAUCAUAGAAAGAAUUGGACCGGUCGCUUAUCGAUUGGCAUUACCACCGGAACUUGAUAGAAUCUAUAAUGUUUUUCAUGUAUCUAUGUUACGACGAUAUCGAUCAGAUCCUUCACAUGUUAUUUCUCCGACAGAAGUAGAGAUUCAACCGGAUAUGACUUACAGUGAAGAACCGGUCAAGAUAUUGGCACGGGAGACAAAAGAGCUUAGAAAUAAAAAGAUAAAUUUGGUGAAAGUAUAGUGGCAAAAGCACGGGAUUGAGGAAGCAACAUGGGAACCGGAGGAGGCAAUGAGGAAACAAUACCCAAACCUCUUUACUGGUAAGAUUUUCGAGGACGAAAAUCCUUAAAAGGGGGGGAGAGUUGUAAUGGCGUAAAUUCAAUGUUAUCGGAACAGUGGUUUCGUAACCACAAAUCUGAUUUAAAGAGAAAUUUAUUUCAAUAUUUUUGCUUGAAAAUUUAUAUGAUAGGAAAAUCGUAUGAAAAUAUUGAUAGGAAAAUUUUUAUCAAUUUAGUGAUUAGUUAGAAAAAGAAAUUAUCGAAGAAAUUGGGUAAAAUAAGGUAUCGGGACCUCUAUCUCGUAAAACCGAGUCAAAAAUAAUUUUAUAAAUAUUUAUGAAAUGUUAUUAAUGUGAUAUUAAAAUUUCGUUAGGAAAUUUUAAUGUUUGGGUAGUCAAUUAAAUGAAAAGGACUGAAUUGUAAUAGGUGUAAAAGUUGCUAGAGUGAUUAAAUAGCUUAUUAGUCUAAUGAGAAAGGAUAUAAAAGGCAAUUAGACCCAAAAGUUAUUUGGGCUGGACGGCAAGGGUAUGAAAUCAGCAGAAAAAUUGAUAAAUUAAGGGUAAAAUUGGAAUAUUGCAAAAUUAACUAAAUAAAACUAGGACUAAAUAGGAAAUAUCUAGAUUUUUCUUCAUUUCUCUUCAAUUCCAGCAGCUAAAAACGCCAUAGGAGGGUUCUCUAAGCUGGCAUUUCAUAAUUUUUGCACCAAAUCCAGAAGAUUCAAAUACGAAGCUAGAUCGAGGAAAGGAAAAAGUUCGGGAUUAAUAGAUUUUUACUGUUUACAAACAAGUAUCAAGUGUUAAGAGCUCGGAGGUCGGAUUUGGUCGGAGACACAUCACACUGUCAACCUCAGGAUUUCGGUAUAUAAAGAAACUUUAUUUUGGAAAUCAAUGGCAUGUAUAAGCUAACAAAGUAAAUGUUAACGUGAAAUGAAU
rnacentral:lncRNA from 1 species